ACUGGCAGGCUAGAGUCUUGUAGAGGGGGGUAGAAUUCCAGGUGUAGCGGUGAAAUGCGUAGAGAUCUGGAGGAAUACCGGUGGCGAAGGCGGCCCCCUGGACAAAGACUGACGCUCAGGUGCGAAAGCGUGGGGAGCAAACAGGAUUAGAUACCCUGGUAGUCCACGCCGUAAACGAUGUCGAUUUGGAGGUUGUGCCCUUGAGGCGUGGCUUCCGGAGCUAACGCGUUAAAUCGACCGCCUGGGGAGUACGGCCGCAAGGUUAAAACUCAAAUGAAUUGACGGGGGCCCGCACAAGCGGUGGAGCAUGUGGUUUAAUUCGAUGCAACGCGAAGAACCUUACCUGGUCUUGACAUCCACAGAACUUUCCAGAGAUGGAUUGGUGCCUUCGGGAACUGUGA
rnacentral:rRNA from 1 species